CCCUUAGACGUUCUGGGCCGCACGCGCGCUACACUGACGAAGGCAACGAGCUUUCCUUUACCGAAAGGUACGGGUAAUCUUUUGAAACUUCGUCGUGCUGGGGAUAGAUCCUUGCAAUUUUUGAUCUUAAACGAGGAAUUCCUAGUAAGCGCAAGUCAUCAACUUGCGUUGAUUACGUCCCUGCCCUUUGUACACACCGCCCGUCGCUACUACCGAUUGAAUGGUUAGUGAGGCCUUCGGAUCCGCGACUCGUUUUGUGGAGAAGUUGGACAAACUCAGUCAUUUAGAGGAAGUAAAAGUCGUAACA
rnacentral:rRNA from 1 species